UACGUAGGGCGCAAGCGUUGUCCGGAAUUAUUGGGCGUAAAGAGCUCGUAGGCGGCUUGUCACGUCGGAUGUGAAAGCCCGGGGCUUAACUCCGGGUCUGCAUUCGAUACGGGCAGGCUAGAGUUCGGUAGGGGAGAUCGGAAUUCCUGGUGUAGCGGUGAAAUGCGCAGAUAUCAGGAGGAACACCGGUGGCGAAGGCGGAUCUCUGGGCCGAUACUGACGCUGAGGAGCGAAAGCGUGGGGAGCGAACAGG
rnacentral:rRNA from 1 species